CUCUUGCUGGGGAGUAGUACCGACUGUCCCCACUCCCUGUAGUUUGGGCACAGAGACCACGGUCCUAUCUGCACCGGUGGAGAGCGUUUUGUCUCCCCUUUGUGUGAUAAGCUGCUGCUGGGGAAGGGGAAUGAGGCUCUCCCCUCCUAGUAUAGGACACUGCCUCUGGGGAGAGGGGGAAACAGGCUCCCCUCCCUGACACUCUCUCUGCUGUUGAAGAGGGAGACCAACUGUCUCCCCUUUCCAUAAUUUGUCCUGUCGCUGGGGAUAGAGACCGACUGUCUCUGCUCCCUGCAGGAUACUUUGUCGCUGGGGAGGGAGGACGCUGCUCUCCGUUCCCUGUGAAACAAUGCCGCUGGGGAGCAGGACCGACUGUCCCUGCCCCCUGUAGCUCACCCUGCCGCUGGGGAGGGAGGACGCUGCUCUCCUCUCCCUUCAAGGUACACUGCCG